AAAUAAAAUAAUUAAAAAAAUAAAUAAAUAAAAAAUUAUUUUAGCUAAGCUUUGGUAAAGAAGCUAGUGAGUGAUGUUUUGGCCUCGUUUGGUAAAAAACCUGGCGGUUCCUUUGUUUUAUUAAGACUCGGUCAAGAGUUUAAAUAGGAGCGGUUUAUGUGCUUGAGUGUUUCUGUGUGUGUGAUUUGAUUUAUUAUAAGCCGGCAUUUAUUUUAAGAACUUUGUGAUUUAAUUACAUCUGUAUUUUGUGCUUUUGUCUGUGUAUGUCUUGUUGGGUACCAUAUAUGUUAAUUGUAAUCUAUACAAUUUGUAUCGUUACUCUCCUAUUCUAUCUUUUGUCCUAAGGAGAGCUGUGCUUAGGCAAUCACAUGGUUAAAAAAACUUUGUGCUUGCAAGUCUUCCUCCCUCCUCCCCCCUCCUUCUUUGUUGCUUUCUCUUGCUCUG